rnacentral:rRNA from 1 species
AUUGAACGCUGGCGGCAGGCCUAACACAUGCAAGUCGAACGAGUGGCGGACGGGUGAGUAAUGUCUGGGAAACUGCCUGAUGGCGGGGGAUAACUACUGGAAUCGGUAGCUAUUACCGCAUACCAUCGGAUGUGCCCAGAUGGGCAUAGCUAGUAGGUGGGGUAAAGGAUUCCCUAGGCGACGAUCCCUAGCCGGUCUGAGCGGAUGACCAGCCACACAGGAACUGCGACACGGUCCAGACUCCUACGGAGGGCAGCAGUGGGGAAUAUUGCACGAUGGGCGCAAGCCUGAUGCAGCCAUGCCGCGUGUAUGAAGAAGGCCUUCGGGUUGUAAAGUACUUUCAGCGAGGAGGCGUUACCCGCAGAAGAAGCACCGGCUAACUCCGUGCCAGCAGCCGCGGUAAUAC